rnacentral:pre_miRNA from 1 species
GCUGGUAAAAAGGAACCAAAUCGACUUGGAACUGGAUUUGGUCCCCUUCAACCAGCUG